AACGAACGCUGGCGGCGUGCCUAACACAUGCAAGUCGAACGAGAUCUUCGGGUCUAGUGGCGCACGGGUGCGUAACGCGUGGGAAUCUGCCCUUUGGUUCGGAAUAACAGUUGGAAACGACUGCUAAUACCGGAUGAUGACGAAAGUCCAAAGAUUUAUCGCCAGAGGAUGAGCCCGCGUAGGAUUAGCUAGUUGGUGUGGUAAAGGCGCACCAAGGCGAGGAUCCUUAGCUGGUCUGAGAGGAUGAUCAGCCACACUGGGACUGAGACACGGCCCAGACUCCUGCGGGAGGCAGCAGUGGGGAAUAAUGGCCAAUGGGCGAAAGCCUGAUCCAGCAAUGCCGCGUGAGUGAUGAAGGCCUUAGAGUUGUAAAGCUCUUUUACCCGGGAUGAUAAUGACAGUACCGGGAGAAUAAGCUCCGGCUAACUCCGUGCCAGCAGCCGCGGUAA
rnacentral:rRNA from 1 species